GGCCCAGAUCGUUUACCGUGAAAAAAUUAGAGUGUUCAAAGCAGGCAGAUCCAAUUUUCUGCCACCGAAUACAUUAGCAUGGGAUAAUGGAAUAGGACCCUGUCCUCCUAUUUUCAGUUGGUUCUGGCACGCGAGGACCAGGGUAAUGAUUAAUAGGGAUAGUUGGGGGCAUUAAUAUUUAAUUGUCAGAGGUGAAAUUCUUGGAUUUAUGAAAGAUUAACUUCUGCGAAAGCAUCUGCCAAGGAUGUUUUCAUUAAUCAAGAACGAAAGUUAGGGGAUCGAAGACGAUCAGAUACCGUCGUAGUCUUAACCAUAAACGAUGCCGACCAGCGAUUAGGAGACGUUGAAUACAAAACACCACCAUCGGUGCGGUCGUCCUUGGCGCGUCGUGGCUUGCUGCGGCGUGCGAGGGCGGUUUAGCCUGAUGGCAUCGGUGAAUGACUCCCCUAGCAGCUUGUGAGA
rnacentral:rRNA from 1 species